CUGACUCAGGAUGAACGCUGGCGGCGUGCCUAACACAUGCAAGUCGAACGGGGUUAUGACGCUGAGGAGACUUCGGUCAAAUCUUGUUGUAACUUAGUGGCGGACGGGUGAGUAACGCGUGGAUAACCUACCACACACAGGGGGAUAACAGUUAGAAAUGACUGCUAAUACCGCAUAAGCGCCCGAGGGGGCAUCCUCUCGAGUGAAAAGCGAAUACGGUGUAUGAUGGGUCCGCGUCCGAUUAGCCAGUUGGCGGGGUAAGAGCCCACCAAAGCGACGAUCGGUAGCCGGCCUGAGAGGGUGAACGGCCACAUUGGGACUGAGAGACGGCCCAAACUCCUACGGGAGGCAGCAGUGGGGGAUAUUGCACAAUGGGGGGAACCCUGAUGCAAGCGACGCCGCGUGAGUGAAGAAGUUAUUCGUAAUGUAAAGCUCUAUCAGCAGGGAAGAAGUAGACGGUACCUGACUAAGAAGCACCGGCUAAAUACGUGCCAGCAGCCGC
rnacentral:rRNA from 1 species